rnacentral:ncRNA from 1 species
UGUAGCCGUAUGCAGUGAGAGUUGCACGUACGGUAACGAGGGGGUCGCAUCUAUACGUGUAGUGUGGUGCUUAGGCCUACCCACCCUAU